AUAUGAAGAUCAUGAUAAUCUGUACAUAGUUAUGGAGUAAGUUUUACAAUUUAUGAAUUGCGCGCAUUGGAUACCGAUAUGAUUUGGUAAGCCUUUAUGAUAAGUUGUUUGAUUGUGCAGGUUAUGUGAAGGAUGAGAACUUUUGGAUAGAAUACUUGCAAGAGAUAAAUCCCAUGGGACAAGUACCGGCUAUUGUUUUUGGAGAUUUUAAACUAUUUGAGAGUCAUGCAAUUUAUAUCUACCUCGCCUCUGUAUUUGGAGUUGCAGAUCACUGGUAUCCAAGUGAUCUUCAACCACAUUGGAACGCAUUGAAAUGAAGCACUGUUUACAAAUACAAACUGAUUGCAGGCCUCCAUAUUCACAUCAGAAACAAUAUAAGGCUCAGUAAGUAAAA